rnacentral:sRNA from 1 species
GCGAGCUGCCUGUCUCGCCGUGGCAGGUAGCCGAGCCGUCGAGCAAGAAUCUGUGGGAGCAGAUCUGCGAGGAGUAUGAAGCUGAGCAGCCUCCCUUUCCAGAAGGAUAUAAAGUCAAACAGGAGCCUGUGAUUACUGUUGCGCCAGUAGAGGAAAUGCUUUUUCAUGGCUUCGGUGCAGAGCACUAUUUUCCGGUUUCCCAUUUCACCAUGAUCUCACAUACACCCUGUCCUCAAGAUAAAUCGGAAACAGUCAACCCAAAAACAUGUGAGUAAGAGAGACGCCAUCUUUUAUAAUUUGGGGCUUUUAGCAUUGCAGAACCACAGGGUGGGUAUGGAGGCAGACAGAUGGACCUCAGGGAGACCACAUACAUAAGAAAGAAUGUGUUCUUGUUUUAUUUUUAAGAGAAAUGUCCUUUAUUUCACUGAUUUAUCUUUAAGGUUAAAAAUGUAAUAAAGAUAAUAAGUAACAAA